GCGGGCCGCAGGUUUAGUCCUGGUUGUGGAGUGAGAUGCUGAGAUGGGUCUGGAGGGAUGCAGGAUGUUCUAGUCCGUUAGGAUGGUAAAUAGGGACCUCGCUCCGCGAAGGAUGCUGAACGGGGUCUGGAAGAAUGCAAGAUGUCCUGGUCCGGGCCAGGAAUGGUUACAUGGAUAGUGGGAUGUCAGAAGGGGAAUUGUAGUGAAUCACCCUUCUAUCCAAUCAACUGACAACACAGCAAUGAUCCCACAUCAUCCCAGCCCGAGAAAAAAUCAGGGUUGGUGCCGGUGCUGAGCAGCUACUGGCCAGGAGCUGGAUGUCAGAUCCCUGGGAGGAUAUGAGAGGAUGUUUCCAGAAAGACCGAACUAAAAAGGAACGUCCAACCCUGAAUGUGGAGGACAUCCUCCUCUGGGCUGGGCUCCCAGACUGAGUAAGAAGAAAAUAAGUUGAGCUCGCCCCCCCCCCCCCCCCCAGCGCUGUAGAUACAGUGUGACCAGUUACCAG
ensembl:processed_transcript